CUCAACAUUUCAUACUUUCUUUGAGAAUGUUCACUUGUUUGCUUUCAGACAAAUUUUAUUUUCUGAUUAUUCACAUGGAAGACUUGAAAAAACUAAAGGGAAUUGGAGAGUAGAGAGAAACCUUCAUAUUUGAGCUGCGAGAAGACUCUCCAUAACCAUUUAAGAGUCUUGGUGGUUUAAAGGAUAUUGGACUUUCAGGUAAG